rnacentral:rRNA from 1 species
GAUGAACGCUGACGGCGUGCCUAAUACAUGCCAGUCGAGCGAACGGACGAGAAGCUUGCUUCUCUGAUGUUAGCGGCGGACGGGUGAGUAACACGUGGAUAACCUCCCUAUAAGACUGGGAUAACUUCGGGAAACCGGAGCUAAUACCGGAUAAUAUUUUGAACCGCAUGGUUCAAAAGUGAAAGACGGUCUUGCUGUCACUUAUAGAUGGAUCCGCGCUGCAUUAGCUAGUUGGUAAGGUAACGGCUUACCAAGGCAACGAUGCAUAGCCGACCUGAGAGGGUGAUCGGCCACACUGGAACUGAGACACGGUCCAGACUCCUACGGGAGGCAGCAGUAGGGAAUCUUCCGCAAUGGGCGAAAGCCUGACGGAGCAACGCCGCGUGAGUGAUGAAGGUCUUCGGAUCGUAAAACUCUGUUAUUAGGGAAGAACAUAUGUGUAAGUAACUGUGCACAUCUUGACGGUACCUAAUCAGAAAGCCACGGCUAACUACGUG